AUAAUUAUAAUCUUACAUUUAUUUUAGUUUUUGUUAUGAGAAAUAUCUUUUUUUUUUAGUAUUUUAAUGAAAAAUGUUCUUUUGUUAUAGUAUAAUAGUACUGUUAAGGAAUUGAUGAAAUAAUUUAAAAUUAAAUUUUUAAAAAGUAUAAUUUAUUUUUAGUACCUUUUGUAUCAGGGUUAAAUAAAUAUAGUAAUUUAUUUUAUAGUCUCGAUUCCAAAAGAGCUAAAUUAAUAUUUUGGUUAAUGUAUCAUAAUUAUCAAAAAUAUAAUUUAGAGGAGAAAUUUUAUUCGGUUUUGGAGGUAUCUAGUUUUUUAAGAAAUAAAUUUAAUUUAAUUUUAYAUUUUAAUUUUUAUAUUGUAUUAUAGAUUAUUAUAUAAAUUAAAAAUUAUAGGGGAUAAGCUCUAUAUUAUUCUAUAAAUAUUUUCUUCAAUAAAUUAUUGUAGGUUUAGAAAUAUCCAUCUUUAGCAAGUGUGUUAUAAUUUAUUUUUUUUUAUUAAUAAAUUUAAUUAAUUUUAGUUAAUUAUUAAAAUAUUGAGAUGAAUAUAAACUCUCAAGUAAUAAUGUUUAAAUUAGUAUAAAUAUAAGUUUAUAAUAUUGAAUAAUAUUAGAUAAAAUAAGGAACUCGGCAAAUAUAGUUCUCGCCUGUUUAWCAAAAACAUGUCCUUUUGAAUUUAAUAAUAGGUCUGGCCUGCCCAGUGAUGAAUUUAACGGCCGCGGUAUACUGACCGUGCAAAGGUAGCAUAAUCAUUAGUCUUUUAAUAGAGGGCUGGAAUGAAAGGUUUAACGAGGAAUUGACUGUCUCAUUUUAUUUGUUUUAAAAUUUAAUUUUUUAGUUAAAAAGCUAAAAUUGUAUUGGAAGACGAGAAGACCCUAUAGAUCUUUAUAUAAUUAUAAUUAAUUAAUAUUAUAUUAAUAUAUUAUUUAUUAUUAUAUUUUGUUGGGGUGACAAAAAUAUAUAAUUAACUUUUUUAUUUAUUAAACAUUGAUUUAUGAAUUAUAGAUCCAUUAUUAGUGAUUGUUAGAUUAAGUUACCUUAGGGAUAACAGCGUAAUCCUCUUCCAGAGUUCAUAUUUACAGGAGGGCUUGCGACCUCGAUGUUGGAUUAAGAUAAUAGUUAGGUGUAGCCGCUUAAUUAAUAGGUCUGUUCGACCUUUAAAC
rnacentral:rRNA from 1 species